rnacentral:tRNA from 1 species
GGGGUUGUAGCUCAGUGAUAGAGCACUUGCCUAGCAGCAUGAGGCCCUGGGUUUGAUCCUCAGCACCA